rnacentral:rRNA from 1 species
GAUGAACGCUGGCGGCGUGCCUAAUACAUGCAAGUCGAGCGAACGGACGAGAAGCUUGCUCUUCUGAUGUUAGCGGCGGACGGGUGAGUAACACGUGGAUAACCUACCUAUAAGACUGGGAUAACUUCGGGAAACCGGAGCUAAUACCGGAUAAUAUUUUGAACCGCAUGGUUCAAAAGUGUAAGACGGUCUUGCUGUCACUUAUAGAUGGAUCCGCGCUGCAUUAGCUAGUUGGUAAGGUAACGGCUUACCAAGGCAACGAUGCAUAGCCGACCUGAGAGGGUGAUCGGCCACACUGGAACUGAGACACGGUCCAGACUCCUACGGGAGGCAGCAGUAGGGAAUCUUCCGCAAAGGGCGAAAGCCUGACGGAGCAACGCCGCGUGAGUGAUGAAGGUCUUCGGAUCGUAAAACUCUGUUAUUAGGGAAGAACAUAUGUGUAAGUAACUGUGCACAUCUUGACGGUACCUAAUCAGAAAGCCACGGCUAACUACGUG